ensembl:lncRNA
AGACUGUGUGAGGGGAGGAGGUGUGUAGUUAGACUGUGUGAUGGGGAGGAGGUGUGUAGUUUGACUGUGAGGGGAGGAAGUGUGUAGUUUGACUGUGUGAGGGGAGGAGGUGUAGUUAGACUGUGUGAGGGUAGGAGGUGUGUAGUUAGACUGUGUGAUGGGGAGGAGGUGUGUAGUUUGACUGUGAGGGGAGGAGGUGUGUAGUUUGACUGUGUGAGGGGAGGAGGUGUAGUUAGACUGUGUGAGGGGAGGAGGUGUGUAGUUCGACU